CUGAGGGACGGUGGCAGAACCUGCGGGCUAGGUGGGCGACUCGCCCUCGAGGACGAAGAGGAAACAAGGGCCGCCGCUCGGAAGGAGCGAGGAGGCGCGUGGAGUCCAGGAGUCCGGCCGCAACCGCUACCUCUACCUCCAGCAGCGGGAGAAGGCGCACCGGCAGGCGCACCGGCGGCAGCUGCGACCCUGCGCUCAGGUGGCAGUGUAGAAGCCAAAACGGGAGCUUCCAGAAGUAGUUUCUGAAAAAUAAGAGUAGAAUGUACAUGAGUAAGCAAGCACAGGAAUCUGAAAACCACAGGUAACCUGGCACUCUGUUCAAGGUCUGAACUGUCUCCUUGAAGCCAUUGAAAUGUAGAGCUGGAAGGGACAGCUGGAUCAUCUUAUAAAUCUCCCUUUUAAAGAUGCAGCUUAGGAAGUUUAACUAACUGACUCACUGAAGGUAACAGCUGCUUCAAGGUAAAACCAUAAUUAAGAAUUUCUCUUAGUUUCAACCCUGAUUUGUGCAAUUACUCCUGUGAUUUUAAUCAGACCAGAAGAAAUGAAGGAAGUUUCUUUGGUUUUCAAAAAUUGGGGUUUGUCACUUGCCUCCUACUUCACAGCCCCUUACCUAUUCUGUUGCUGGCACCUCGCCCUAAUCCACAGAAGAGCGUCCUCCAGUUCCCACCCAAAGCUGAUACCACCAGCUAUAUUCUUUAUUUAAUUUUUUUUAUUUAUUCACAGGUACCUACACAAAGUAGGAAGAAUUCUCUCUCUCUCUUUUUUUUUUUUUGCAGUGCUAGGGUUCAAACCCAGGGCUUCAUGCAUGCCAGUAAGCCACAUCCCCUGCCUCCCCGCUGUGCUCUUGAUUGUGACCCAUUUUUGCCUCUGUCAGGACAUAUUCUAGCUGUCAUACUCUGUCAUAUAUUGUCUUCCUUCUAACUUGGUUAUUUUCCUUGGUCUACAAAUGUGUCAAAACUCAGAGAAUUUUUACUUCACCUUACAUACUGCUUCUUCUUGAUACUCACUAUUGGAAAGAGAAACUGGUGGGCAGAGUCACUGUUUUUUUUCACCUUCGUUCCUUACAUGGUAAUGUACAAACACAGUGACUGGUUCUUCGUGAGAGCUCAGAGAAGUUCCCUACCUACCACCUUGCCUUGCCCCUCUCAUUCCAUGUUUCCCUCUUAUCUUCCACCUAUACCCCCACUUUAUUAUAUUUUAUUUUGAGGUUGGGGUCUUGCUAAGUUGCUCAGGCUGGCCUUGAAUUUAGGACCUUCUGCCUCAUCUUCCCAAGUACAUGGUGACAUUCUCCCAAGAUACCCAGCUCCUUGUCCCCUUUAUUGUCCUGUGUUCUCCCCUUCUGACCAUUUGUUGUCAUUUUGUAUUCUAGCCUCUCUUUAAAACAUAAUCCAAGCCAGGCAUGGUGGUGCAUGCCUGUAAUCCCUGCAGAUCA